rnacentral:rRNA from 1 species
GAUGAACGCUGGCGGCGUGCCUAAUACAUGCAAGUCGAGCGAAUGGAUUGAGAGCUUGCUCUUAUGAAGUUAGCGGCGGACGGGUGAGUAACACGUGGGUAACCUGCCCAUAAGACUGGGAUAACUCCGGGAAACCGGGGCUAAUACCGGAUAACAUUUUGAACCGCAUGGUUCGAAAUUGAAAGGCGGCUUCGGCUGUCACUUAUGGAUGGACCCGCGUCGCAUUAGCUAGUUGGUGAGGUAACGGCUAACCAAGGCAACGAUGCGUAGCCGACCUGGGAGGGUGAUCGGCCACACUGGGACUGAGACACGGCCCAGACUCCUACGGGAGGCAGCAGGAGGGAAUCUUCCACAAUGGGAGAAAGUCUGACGGAGCAACGCCGCGUGAGUGAUGAAGGCUUUCGGGUCGUAAAACUCUGUUGUUAGGGGAGAACAAGUGCUAGUUGAAUAAGCUGGCACCUUGACGGUACCUAACCAGAAAGCCACGGCUAACUACGUGCCAGCAGCCGCCGUAA